rnacentral:rRNA from 1 species
UACGUAGGGACCAAGCGUUGUCCGGAAUCAUUGGGCGUAAAGCGCGCGUAGGUGGCCAUUUAAGUCCGCUGUGAAAGUCAGAGGCUCAACCUUUGAAAGCCGGUGGAUACUGGAUGGCUAGAGUACGGAAGAGGCGAGUGGAAUUCCUGGUGUAGCGGUGAAAUGCGCAGAUAUCAGGAGGAACACCAGUGGCGAAGGCGGAUCUCUGGG